UCAGAGGAAGCAGAGCACUGACAAGACAGGCUGUAAGGCUGUCAUUACACAAAAGGUCAAAGUUCCCUUAGAUUAUGUCUGCUCUGUGAGUCAUUGACUUUUAUAGACUGAGGUGUUUGGAAAAAAGUCUCAUGAAAUUUAUGGCAGUAUAAUGUUCUGGCUAUACUCUGUAAUCUUAUUUUAAAAGAAAAUAUAGCUCAUUAAGUAUAGUAUUCAGAGUAUAUAAUAUAUUAUUGUUUUUCAUUUAAAUAACACUAUAAAUGGGAGCUGGAUUUUUAAAGCCUGAAAGAUAAUAACUCUGCUAAGAAAAAUUUACAACUUACAGACUUUUUGAAACACCAGACCAGCAAGUAGCCUGGCUGAAAGUCUGGCAGAUACCAAAGGACUGCUGGUAGAAGUAAGGACUUUAAGACUUAGCUCCUACAUCUUCAGGAGCUGCCGAUGGACAGAAAGGAACAGCUCCUGGAAUACAAAACUCUCACAGACAGAGGAGGGAGCAGAAGAUCCUGAUUUACAUUGUAUAUCGUUUCCUGAGCCUACCAAGAAAUAUUUGUUUUUAAUUUUCACCCUUCAAGUCUCUUUGAAAUAACAUCCUUCUAAGAAACAAACGACAUCAAGGGCUGUGAAGAGAUACUCAUUAACUCCUGUAAAGCCAUCGGAACACAAAACAAGCUCACAGACAAUUAUUAGAAAAUUCAGAGUUUGGAUUACAACUCCAGAGAGUGGAUGCAUUUCAUAUAUAUAGUGGAUUUAUGCUACCCAAAGAGGAUGAGAUCUCACCUAUUCAUAAGUAAACUGGGACCUGUUAAAAUAAAUAAGAAUGAAAGUGGUGAAAGUGAAAAUAGAAGCCAGAGGUUUAGAAUAAUGGAAUUUAUAUUGAUAAGUGGGAGGCCAAAGCAGGUCAACAUUCAUGAUGUCAGGUGCUGGACAAGCAAAGGAGCAGAGACAGUGACAAAGUGGAGCAGUCAGAGCAGUGCAGCUGCUAUGAUGGCAAGUCCACUGUAACACUGUAACAAGUAACACUGAAUAAUAGUUACUAAUGUAUUUCAAAGACAGAAAUGAGAAUGAUGAUUCACCUGUUAUGAACAUAUCAUCUAUCAGUGGAAAUUGCCCUUAGCAAUGGACAGUGCUGUCAGCAUGUCAUCUGCUAUUUCUUGGCUUGGGAAGGAGGCAAGAAAGAGUAGUAAAGGACACCAAGGAGCUGAUUUGGUAUUCUGGAAAGAGUUCUCUGGACUAAAAAACUAAAAUUUGAUACCUGUGUUUAAUCUGUAAGUUAAGGCUGCACAACAAUAUAACAGAUUUAACUCCGAGGUAUCCUCACAUAUGGGCCCAAACAUUUUAUUAAUUAUCAAGUUGGAAGGGAUUUCCAGAACUGUAUUUGUUCUUAUGGAUAAGGAUAGAGAAUA